CAGAGGGUGCAAGCGUUGUUCGGAAUUACUGGGCGUAAAGCGCGCGCAGGCGGGUCCUGUAAGUCGGAAGUGAAAUUUCGGAGCUCAACUCCGAAGCUGCUUCUGAUACUGCGGAUCUAGAGACUGGUAGAGGUCGGUGGAAUUACAGGUGUAGCGGUGGAAUGCGUAGAUAUCUGUAAGAACACCCGUGGCGAAGGCGGCCGACUGGGCCGGAUCUGACGCUGAGGCGCGAAAGCGUGGGGAGCAAACAGGAUUAGAUACCCUGGUAGUCCACGCCGUAAGCGAUGGGCACUAGGUGCCGGGGGGAGCGACCCCUUCGGUGCCGCAGCUAACGCGAUAAGUGCCCCGCCUGGGGAGUACGGCCGCAAGGCUG
rnacentral:rRNA from 1 species